AUUGAACGCUAGCGGGAUGCCUUACACAUGCAAGUCGAACGGAGUGGCGAACGGGUGAGUAAUGUAUCGGAACGUGCCCAGUAGCGGGGGAUAACUACGCGAAAGCGUAGCUAAUACCGCAUACUAUUGGAGCGGCCGAGACGGGAUUAUCUAGUUGGUGGGGUAACGGCUCACCAAGGCGACGAUCCGUAGCUGGUUUAAGAGGACGACCAGCCACACUGGGACUGAGACAAGGCCCAGACUCCUACGGGAGGCAGCAGUGGGGAAUUGUUGACAAUGGGAGCAAGCCUGAUCCAGCCAUGCCGCGUGUGCGAUGAAGGCCGUCGGGUUGUAAAGCACUUUUGGCAGGAAAGCGGUACCUGCAGAAUAAGCACCGGCUAACUACGUGCCAGCAGCCGCGGUAAUUC
rnacentral:rRNA from 1 species